rnacentral:rRNA from 1 species
UACACUCCUACGGGAGGCAGCAGUGGGGAAUAUUGGACAAUGGGCGCAAGCCUGAUCCAGCCAUGCCGCGUGAGUGAUGAAGGCCCUAGGGUUGUAAAGCUCUUUCACCGGUGAAGAUAAUGACGGUAACCGGAGAAGAAGCCCCGGCUAACUUCGUGCCAGCAGCCGCGGUAAUACGAAGGGGGCUAGCGUUGUUCGGAUUUACUGGGCGUAAAGCGCACGUAGGCGGACUAUUAAGUCAGGGGUGAAAUCCCGGGGCUCAACCCCGGAACUGCCUUUGAUACUGGUAGUCUUGAGUUCGAGAGAGGUGAGUGGAAUUCCGAGUGUAGAGGUGAAAUUCGUAGAUAUUCGGAGGAACACCAGUGGCGAAGGCGGCUCACUGGCUCGAUACUGACGCUGAGGUGCGAAAGCGUGGGGAGCAAACAGGAUUAGAUACCCCAGUAGUC